CCUACGGUAGGCUGCAGUAGGGAAUAUUUGUCCAUGGGCGCACGCCUGACCCAGCAACGCCGCGUGAAGGAUGAAGUUCCUCGGGUUGUAAACUUCUUUUAUCAAGGACGAUACACAUGACGUUUCUUGAUGAAUAAGCCACUGCUAACUACGUGCAAGCAGCCGCGGUAAGACGUAUGUGGCCAGCAUUAUGCGGAUGUACUGGUUGUAAAGGGCGUGUAGGCGGGACAGCAAGUCAGAUGUGAAAUCCAUGGGCUCAACCCAUGGACUGCAUUUGAAACUGUAGUUCUUGAGUGUUGGAGAGGCAGGUGGAAUUCCGUGUGUAGCGGUGAAAUGCGUAGAGAUACGGAGGAACACCAGUGGCGAAGGCGACCUGAUGGACCAUAACUGACGCUGAGGCGCGAAAGCGUGGGGAGCAAACAGGAUUAGAUACCCGGGUAGUC
rnacentral:rRNA from 1 species